rnacentral:rRNA from 1 species
AGAGUUUGAUCCUGGCUCAGAAUCAACGCUGGCGGCGUGCCUAACACAUGCAAGUCGAACGCGAAAGCCCCGCAAGGGGUAAGUAGAGUGGCAAACGGGUGAGUAACACGUGGGUGACCUGCCUUCGAGCGGGGGAUAACGUCCCGAAAGGGACGCUAAUACCGCAUAACAUCCUGCCUUUGAAGAGGCGGUGAUCAAAGCUGGGGAUCGCAAGACCUAGCACUUGAAGAGGGGCCCGCGUCCGAUUAGCUAGUUGGUGGGGUAAUGGCCCACCAAGGCAACGAUCGGUAGCCGGCCUGAGAGGGCGGACGGCCACACUGGGACUGAGACACGGCCCAGACUCCUACGGGAGGCAGCAGUGGGGAAUUGUUCGCAAUGGGCGCAAGCCUGACGACGCAACGCCGCGUGGAGGAUGAAGAUCUUCGGGUCGUAAACUCCUUUCGAUCGAGACGAAUUCCUCUGGGGUGAACAAUCCCGGAGGUUGACGGUACCGAGAGAAGAAGCCCCGGCUAACUCCGUGCCAGCAGCCGCGGUA